rnacentral:rRNA from 1 species
GACGAACGCUGGCGGCGUGCUUAACACAUGCAAGUCGAGCGGUAAGGCCCUUCGGGGUACACGAGCGGCGAACGGGUGAGUAACACGUGGGUGACCUGCCCUCAGCUCUGGGAUAAGCCUGGGAAACCGGGUCUAAUACCGGAUAGGACCUGCUCCUGCAUGGGAGUGGGUGGAAAGUUUUUUCGGCUGGGGAUGGGCCCGCGGCCUAUCAGCUUGUUGGUGGGGUGAUGGCCUACCAAGGCGACGACGGGUAGCCGGCCUGAGAGGGCGACCGGCCACACUGGGACUGAGACACGGCCCAGACUCCUACGGGAGGCAGCAGUGGGGAAUAUUGCGCAAUGGGCGGAAGCCUGACGCAGCGACGCCGCGUGGGGGAUGACGGCCUUCGGGUUGUAAACCUCUUUCGCCAGGGACGAAGCGCAAGUGACGGUACCUGGAUAAGAAGCACCGGCCAACUACGUGCCAGCCGCCGCCGUAAGAC